GAUCAUGGCUCAGGAUGAACGCUAGCGACAGGCUUAACACAUGCAAGUCGAGGGGCGAGCGGGGAGGUAGCAAUACUUCGCCGGCGACCGGCGCACGGGUGAGUAACACGUGUGCAACCAACCCCGUACCGGGAGAUAACCCGCGGAAACGUGGACUAACAUCCCAUGAGACUCUAGAGCCGCAUGGCUCUAGAUUUAAAAUUCCGGUGGUACGGGACGGGCACGCGCGACAUUAGGUAGUUGGCGGGGUAACGGCCC
rnacentral:rRNA from 1 species